GACGAACGCUGGCGGCGUGCUUAACACAUGCAAGUCGAACGGAAAGACCCUGCUUUUGUGGGGUGCUCGAGUGGCGAACGGGUGAGUAACACGUGAGUAACCUGCCCUUGACUUUGGGAUAACUUCAGGAAACUGGGGCUAAUACCGGAUAGGAGCUCCUGCUGCAUGGUGGGGGUUGGAAAGUUUCGGCGGUUGGGGAUGGACUCGCGGCUUAUCAGCUUGUUGGUGGGGUAGUGGCUUACCCAGGGUUUGACGGGUAGCCGGCCUGGGAGGGUGGCCGGCCACAUUGGGACUGAGAUACGGACCAGACUCCUACGGGAGGCAGCAGUGGAGAAUAUUGCACAAUGGGCGGAAGCCUGAUGCAGCAACGCCGCGUGCGGGAUGACGGCCUUCGGGUUGUAAACCGCUUUCGCCUGUGACGAAGCGUGAGUGACGGUAAUGGGUAAAGAAGCACCGGCUAACUACGUG
rnacentral:rRNA from 1 species